GAGCGAGCUACGGUUGCUACGGUGCCGACAGAGAUGGGAGAUCAUCGGUAGUUGAGCCGCGUAACGCAUGUGUGUCUUUAAGCGCGGGGCGAUGCAAUAGUGGCAUAAGUGGCAUAGUGUCAGACUUUGUUUGCCGCAAGAAAACACACCACUCAAGAGAUAACGAGCUUCGCUAUCAAACUUAUGUUUACUUUAGCGUUUUACUAAUUUAGGUGCGUGCAAAUAGCUGCCAUAUGUACUAAAGUUCAGCAAAACAUCUAUUUUAUCUAGACGACAUUCUCAUAUUUGCAAGAAUCUAUUUUGGCAUUUAGCACGUCGUGUUAAAAUGUAGCGUCGACAAAUAUUCUUGUUAUGUGAUAAUUUGUAUUUAUUAUAUCUACAAUAUUUACUUAAAUAAACCGUAGCUCGCCCCCGUGUGUUAUUUGA
rnacentral:lncRNA from 1 species